rnacentral:lncRNA from 1 species
AGUCUUGUGAGUACUUUGGAUGAGUACUCACCGUUGCUUUUCUCCCCCUUUUCCCUUGAUACUACUGAUGCGACCAGAUGACGGAGCCCAGGAGUUGGCGUAUCUCGCCGAUGACGUAUGCUACCCCGACGGUGCCGACUACUACGUGGAGGUCACUGACGACCAGGAGUAGUUUAGGAGCUUGUAUCUUUUGUGCUAGCCUUCUCUAAGGCAUCUCCUUGUUUUAUGUCUGUACUUAGAUAUUUGUUGCUUUCACUGACUCGUGUGUUUCUCGAGCUUUUGUAUUCUAGCCCUCGAGGCCCCUCGCUUGUAAUAUGAAGCU